rnacentral:rRNA from 1 species
CAUUACCGAGUUUACAACUCCCAAACCCAUGUGAACAUACCUAUUGUUGCUUCGGCGGGAUUGCCCCGGGCGCCUCGCGUGCCCCGGAUCAGGCGCCCGCCUAGGAAACUUAACUCUUGUUUUAUUUGGAAUCUUCUGAGUAGUUUUUACAAAUAAAUAAAAACUUUCAACAACGGAUCUCUUGGUUCUGGCAUCGAUGAAGAACGCAGCGAAAUGCGAUAAGUAAUGUGAAUUGCAGAAUUCAGUGAAUCAUCGAAUCUUUGAACGCACAUUGCGCCCGCCAGUAUUCUGGCGGGCAUGCCUGUCUGAGCGUCAUUUCAACCCUCAUGCCCCUAGGGCGUGGUGUUGGGGAUCGGCCAAAGCCCGCGAGGGACGGCCGGCCCCUAAAUCUAGUGGCGGACCCGUCGUGGCCUCCUCUGCGAAGUAGUGAUAUUCCGCAUCGGAGAGCGACGAGCCCCUGCCGUUAAACCCCCAACUUUCCAAGGUUGACCUCAGAUCAGG